AGGACUGAAAACUGAAAUAAUGAGAUGCUCAAGUUGGGAAAUUGGCACGACCUUUGACCAGCGUUUGAUUGUUGAAGCUUUUGUUUGUUUCUCCCAUAAGAUGUUUGCAUUUUAGCGCUUCUCACAUUUCCCGGCUAUUUCCAUCCCUCUUGUUUCCUCAUCUUGAUUACCGCCCAAUAAGGAUCUGCUUUCAGAGAUUUUCAACUCUUUGUUUCUUACAUCAUAGAUAAUGGAUUCAACAGUGUCAAUACUUGCAAAUGUAGUGGGAGCUACAUCUGAUUGGGUGAGAUCAGUCUUUGAGUUUCAAUUCGCAAGAGCUGUGAUAUUUGAGGUCAAUAUUGGAGGACAUCUAUUUGUGGAAGGUCUUCUCCUGGUGGUCAUCCUUUUCCUACUGUCUCAGAAGAGUUACAAACCACCUAAAAGACCAUUGACGAAGAAGGAAAUUGAUGAAUUAUGUGAAGAAUGGGCCCCAGAACCACUUAUCCCUUCCAUCACUGAUGAGAUGAAACGUGAACCUCCAGUUUUAGAAAGUGCUGCAGGGCCUCAUACUAUAGUUAAUGGGAAAGAUGUAGUGAACUUUACUUCAGCAAAUUACCUUGGAUUAUUAGGAAGCCAAGAUUUACUAGAGACUUGUACUACAGCUCUAGAGAAGUAUGGUGUAGGUUCUUGUGGUCCCCGGGGGUUCUAUGGCACAAUUGAUGUCCACCUUGAUUGUGAGGCCAGAAUAGCAAAGUUUCUUGGAACUCCAGAUUCCAUACUAUAUUCUUAUGGACUUUCUACGAUGUUCAGUGCAAUUCCAGCAUUUUGCAAAAAGGGAGAUGUUGUUGUUGCGGAUGAAGGUGUCCACUGGGGAAUUCAAAACGGCCUUCAGCUCUCUAGAAGUACCAUCAUAUAUUUUAAGCAUAACAAUAUGGAGUCCUUACGAAACACUUUGGAGAAAGUUACCCAAGAAAACAAGCAAGCUAGGAAGCUACGACGAUAUAUUGUUGUUGAAGCUGUGUAUCAGAAUUCUGGCAAAAUAGCUCCAUUAGAUGAAAUCAUCAAGCUGAAGGAAAAAUAUCGAUUCCGCGUGUUGUUGGAUGAGAGCCAUUCCAUUGGUGUGCUUGGUAGUUCUGGUAGAGGUCUAACUGAACAUUGUAAAGUUGCGACUGACAAGAUAGAUAUAAUAACUGCAGCAAUGGGACAUGCAUUGGCCACAGAAGGUGGGUUUUGCACUGGGAAUGCUAGAGUCAUAGAUCACCAGCGUCUCAGUAGUUCUGGUUAUGUCUUCUCUGCUUCACUGCCUCCUUAUUUAGCAAGUGCUACAAUUAAAGCUAUUGAUAUCGUGGAAGAAAAACCUGAACUUCUUGUCAAACUGAGGGAAAAUAUUUCUAUGUUGACUAAAGGUCUAUCAGAUAUAAAAGGCUUAGAAAUAGUCAAUGAUCCGCUCUCCCCCAUUAUAUUCCUUACAUUAAAGAAGUCCACUAGUUCUUCAAAGGGUGAUCUACAAGUGCUUGAAGAUAUAGCUGAUCAUGUCUUGAAGGAAGAUUGUGUCUUUAUUGUGACAUCAAAGAGAUCAACUCUUGAUAAAUGUAAGCUUCCAGUUGGAAUUAGAUUAUUUGUCUCAGCAGCUCAUUCAGAAUCCGAUCUGGUGAAAGCCAGCGAGUCAUUGAAAAGAGCAACAGCAUUACUAUUGCCAGCUCACGAUUGAUAGGAGGAUUUCACUUCUUUGCUCUUCGAAGAUGCCACUGUGUCAAAGGAACCAAAAUGUGAUUCAUGGAGGGUGAAAACUAUGUUACUCGAGAAGAUCAUCACUUUCAUAUAUUGGCUUAUUGGCAAGUGACAUAUUAUUAGCAAUGGAAAUAGUGAAAAAAAUCAUGUAUAGAGUUUGUUACUGGAAGAUAAAUUAAUUAGAGUUAUAUCAAGAUCAAUAUUAGAUGAUGGUAUAGUGAGCACAAUACCCCUGCAAUUAUGUUCAUAAUUUCUUUUAAGAGAGAGUAAUUAGAGUGAAACAACUUUAUUGAUUUAUUUAGUUGGACUCUAUACAUAACUCGUGAUUAGACCAUAAUGUCUUUUAAUUCUUCUUUUAAGCACCAUGAAAAUGUUUAGAGUUGUUUUUACUUCAUUCUACAUUUACCUGAUAUAUUGGAAGUUUGGAAUGGAAAACUGAUCACUGUAGAGUGUAGACUGCAAAAUAUAAUUUUUCAUGUUGCUUAUGAUAGAUAUUUGAGAUAAUUACGGCCCUGAUCGAUGGUCAUCUAGUCUAUCAAUUUUGUUAAAUUUUACAUAAAAGGUAGGCUUUCUUUUACUCAUUAGUCCAAGUGUAUCAACAAUGUUCGCAAUAAAGAUGUUUGACA